rnacentral:lncRNA from 15 species
GCAGCCUACAGAUGAUCUAACAUUUCUGUGACUUCCUGCUGGAAACCGUCCGACUGACUGCUGCUUUAUGUCACCGCCUCCUGCUGCUGGCGCCGGAUCUCGUCCGCUUUCCAGGCUCAGUUCAUCUCGAAGGAGCCGACUGACUCAUGCAGGGGAGGCAACGUACCGAGCCAUCCACCCUCUGAAUGCCCGCGGUCCCUCGUUCGCUGUUGUGCAGUUCCAUGAGGCUGGAGGAGCGUUUGAGCCUCGUUACCAACCAGCUAGCAGAGUAACACGUUCCCGACACAUUAGCGUCUCCUCUGGCAGAUGGCUGAGGGCUGCUGGGAACACUGGAGCGAGCUCUCGGCUCCGGCGCCGUGCUGGAGAGCGCUCGCCGUCGGCUUCUUCACGCGUCCUCCAGCAAUAUGUUGCUCGCCUGGUGGUGGUGGAGGGCGAAGCUUGGCUGGUCCCGGAUCAGCUUUCAGCCAGCGCAGUGGACACGCUGCAGAGUGAGAUGACUGCUGUAACUCUGGAGACUCUGGGGAGAAAUGCAGCCGUCUCUGAGGAUAAAAACCUCCAAAACAGCCCCUCAAACGCCCAUUUUCACAUCUGUCCAGGUUUCCGAGCUUCAGGGAUGUUUCCUGUCUCAAUGGAAGUCAUUCCAACUGACCUUUUCUUGCCAAGCCUACUGAGAGGGUGAAUGGAGAAACAUCAGAAACCAUUCUGUUAUCAGAGGAGGACAUUUCUUUUGGUAUGGAGGAAGUGGUGGUAACCAGCCAGCCUGAUGAUGAAGCGCAUACCUCCACUCUCACAACUGGGUCAGCCCCCCAUACCUCCACUCUCACAACUAGGCCAGCCCCCCAUACCUCCACUCUCACAACUGGGCCACCCUCUCUACCGAGCACUUCAACAGCUAAGUGGGCUUCCAUUGUAAGGUUCUCAGACCUUAUUGAUGUACCAACAAGAGAGAGGGGGGAAAGAAGAGGACGAUGGCGAGGCCAUCCAGCUACCACCUAACAAGCCAGGAACACUUCAACUUUGUCCAAGCCAAAGCACACAAAAAGAAACCUAAAUCAACCAAAGUGCGUAAGGCUGCUGGUGUCCGCCCCCAAAAAGCUGCCGUUCCUCCCCUGCAAACAGGGGAAGUCAGGGAAGUGGCUGCUGUACUUGUAGCAAGGGGGUCUAUGGGGAUGCAAGCGCCCCAAAGGCCAAUGAGGAAUGGGUGGCUUGCUGCCAUUGCCAACAGUGGUAUCAUGAGUCCUGCGGAGAGCUCAACAGACUUAUGGAUGACGACGACGUCAUCAUCUGUAGUGGAUGUGUUAUCUGAAGUUGUUAUGUAGGCCUAAUGAUAGUUCCAUUCAUUGAAUAUAGAAUGCAGUUUACAAUGUUACAAUUUUUGCAUUAGUUUAAAAAUAAUCCUUCCUAGUAUUAAUUGAUUGAACACUUUUCCUUAGGUUACUGUUUUUUAUGCAUUGUUGAAUAUUUUUAAUUAUAUGAUAAUCUGUUUGAUUUACUGUACACAUGAAUUCAUGAAGUCAUUAAUGUGUUGUAGAUGUUGGUGAAGGUAAUAUAUUGUUAAAAUGUUUUAUAACGUGUUGUUAAAAGUUAUUAAAAAGUAUUUCUCAUGUUCAUUUUAACUGUAAUAUAGUGUCCCACUUUCCCUAACAAAGUGUCCAACUCAACCUGAUUGCUUCCAGUUUGCUGAAGAGGGUGUCAGAUGGUGUUUAAAGAUGAACAGUUUGUUAAUGAAUACAUAAAUUGGCUAAAUUUCACCAUGGAUGUCUUCACUACAACCUAUUUAAACAAAACACAUACAAUGUUAAUACAUUCUAACUGAUUUAGGUUGUUUAAAAUGCAAUUUACCAAAAAGUGUCCCACUUUACCUGACUUCACCCUAUAUAUAUAUAUAUAUAUAUAUAUAUAUAAACUGAAAUAAUUAUAAUGACUAGUUGACGAAGAAAGUCUUUAUUCGGAGGGCAGCCUUACAUAAUAAACAUCACAAAUAUGUCAAAUAUGGUCUUAAAAUUCUACCUGGAAAUUUCAGGCUGUAGAAAUUGUGAAUUUUGUAAUGGAAAUUGUGAUUUUCUCAUUGGGGUCAAUUAAAUAAAGUGAAAUUCAAAUAUUCCUUGUUUAUCUGGUUGAGAAACUGUUCUUUAUUCUUAUAGAGACCAAACAUAAAAAAAACUAUAACUAAUGAAAGGUGAGGUAAUGUGGACAUUUACACACCUAAAAACAUUAAAAUAAAGGGACUGAUUUCACGUUUGAUGAAUGAUGAAUAAAACAUUUUUAACUGUGUUUAUAAACUACAUACUAAUGUGUUCAUGCGUUAUAAAUGAAUUCAGUACACAAGGAUUUGAACCCAAAUGCAGAUCGUAGCAGAGCAGCAGCAGUUCAGAUGAUUUAUUAGAGGAGAAAACUUACAUAAUGAUAAAGCAACAGUCCAAUAUAGUAAAAAAAAGUUAACAAGUUAAUUUGCUCUAGUAUUGAUGAGUGAUGAUUAGUUUUAUAAUGCCAUCAAAGAAAAAAUGUUUACAGUUAAAUAAUCUCAGGACUGGCUGGUUUCCUACUUUAUUUGCCCUCUAUGUAAAUAAUGUAGCUCAAGAAAUCAAGCAGACUGAUUUAGGAAUAUGAACUUAAGUAUGUUGUUAUAUGCUGAUGAUAUUGUGUUGUUUGCAGAGAGAGAUCCAUUUAUUUUAUGGUGUAGUAAAUGGAGCAUUUCUAUAUCAAAACACAGAUUAUACAUUUCAGAAAGCUCAUAUUUAAGUUUGGAUCAAUGUGCUUAGGCUAAAACACUACUUAUAAAGAUGUGGAGUCUCAAUUGUAAUCCUGGGAAAUGGGUUUAUUUUGAAUAGCAGAGUUUUCUUCUGUGUUGUGACAGUUUUCUAGAGGAAUAUUUGACAAUUCAUGCUGCUGUUGUAUUGUUAGACGUGUAUAAAGUGAACACUUGUUUAAAAUAGUGACUUUAGUGUAGUAUUUUUUUAUUGCAUGUUUUAGGAUUUCAAACACAUUUUUAGUGUUUUAUUUGCAUGUUGUUUUAUCUGGAAUUUAAGUUUUUUUAAGAAAUGUUGCAGAGUAGGUCUACGAAACUAUAAUACAAUGCUCUGUUUCAGAAAUAAACUGUAAAAAUGUAUCCUGGUGUGUUGUCUGCUCUUCCUCACACUGAAGUGCUGAAGUACUGAAAGUACAAAUUGUGCUGUUUCUAUGAAAGGGCUUGCCUUGGUCUUGGUCUUGUCUUUAAUGAAAAUAUGAGCUUUUCAAAAGGAGUAAAAAUAUUGUCAGCUGGUAGACCGUUAUAGGAUGUGUAUUCACUAAAUUGAAAUUGUCCUGACCUUGUUUUUUAAUCCAGAUGCUUUCCAAGGGUAUACAAAUAUACUGCUAAGAGGGCUGUUAAAAAUGGGAAAUGGGGAGCGAGGGCAAACACCUGCAGCUGCUGACAAGCUAACGUUAGCUUUCAACCAUAAUGUGUGCUACCAAACAAAGACACAUACUCACCACUAGUGCCGCUGACUGCCGCCGACUCCAAUGUGCUUCUCCAUGCUCCUCUUGGCUGCACUGUCAGAAACUUCUGAGAGUUAACGUAAUUAUGACGUAACAUCCCGCCUCCCACCGUCAUCACGUUGAUGACGUGCUGAGAGCGGGAGCUCAACGUACACGUCCCAAACAGAUAAGAUCACAACAAUAGCAUGUCUUCAUACAAUAUGUUGGGAAGUUGCAGUAAACAUCAAUACAAUAUGUUCUAUAUCCCUUUGUGUUGUGUCUCUCCUUCGUCUGUUAAGAUAACUGAACAUUUUGUGAGUCUCGAGGCAUUGUCAGCCAUUAUAUCUCAUUUGUAAAUGCUUAAUAAGCCAUAGAUAGUGCUCACUUUAGAUGAGCUCGUGCAAAAUACUUAAUUAAUGAGUAGUAAGUGCUUUGUAACUGUGAAUUCCUGCAUUAAUCACUGUUUAUAGGCCAUCAUUAGAAAAUGAAUUUGUUGUGAGUUUUAAUUAAACUAAAUCUUCGUACUA